UAGAACAGGUUUGUGAACUCAGCCCCAGGACCAGCUGGAUGAGGGGACUGAUGCUUCAGUGUGUUAGUAGAACAGGUUAGUGAACUCAGCCCCAGGACCAGCUGGAUGAGGGGACUGAGGCUUCAGUGUGUUAGUAGAACAGGUUAGUGAACUCAGCCCCAGGACCAGCUGGAUGAGGGGACUGAGGCUUCAGUGUGUUAGUAGAACAGGUUAGUGAACUCAGCCCCAGGACCAGCUGGAUGAGGGGACUGAGGCUUCAGUGUGUUAGUAGAACAGGUUAGUGAACUCAGCCCCAGGACCAGCUGGAUGAGGAGACUGAGGCUUCAGUGUGUUAGUAGAACAGGUUAGUGAACUCAGCCCCAGGACCAGCUGGAUGAGGGGACUGAGGCUUCAGUGUGUUAGUAGAACAGGUUAGUGAACUCAGCCCCAGGACCAGCUGGAUGAGGGGACUGAGGCUUCAGUGUGUUAGUAGAACAGGUUUGUGAACUCAGCCCCAGGACCAGCUGG